rnacentral:ncRNA from 1 species
CAACUGUUUACCAAAAACACAGCUCCCUGCGAACUCGCAAGAGGAUGUAUAGGGGGUGACACCUGACCAAUGCCCGAAGGUCAAACAUGAACGGUGUAUGAUCGCAAGAUCUUCUGCUGAUUUAUGUAAGCCCGGGUGAAUGUCGGCCGUAACUAUAACGGUCCUAAGGUUCUGGAACUUUCGCAAGAAGGUUCCGGAAUAACUAGGACUGUUAGAAAACGGAAGUAAGUAAAU